rnacentral:rRNA from 1 species
UUACGGUACCGUCAAGCUCCUUCACGAAGGAGUGUUUCUUCCCGUACAAAAGCAGUUUACACACCAUAGAUGCGUCUUCCUGCACGCGGCAUGGCUGGAUCAGGCUUGCGCCCAUUGUCCAAUAUUCCUCACUGCUGCCUCCCGUAGGAGUA